rnacentral:rRNA from 1 species
UGCCAGCAGCCGCGGUAAUACGGAGGGGGUUAGCGUUGUUCGGAAUUACUGGGCGUAAAGCGCACGUAGGCGGAUUAGAAAGUUGGGGGUGAAAUCCCAGGGCUCAACCCUGGAACUGCCUCCAAAACUACUAGUCUUGAGUUCGAGAGAGGUGAGUGGAAUUCCGAGUGUAGAGGUGAAAUUCGUAGAUAUUCGGAGGAACACCAGUGGCGAAGGCGGAUUCCUGGGCUGGCACUGACACUGAGGAGCGAAAGCGUGGGUAGCAAACAGGAUUAGAUA